ensembl:lncRNA
CUCCAGUACUCUUGCCUGGAAACUCCCAUGGACAGAGGAGCCUGGUGGGCUGCAGUCCAUGGGGUCGCUAAGAGUCUGAGACGACUGAGCGACUUCACUUUCACUUUUCACUUUCAUGCAUUGGAGAAGGAAAUGGCAACCCACUCCAGCGUUCUUGCCUGGAGAAUCCCAGGGAUGGAGGAGCCUGGUAGGCUGCCGUCUAUGGGGUCGCGCAGAGUCGGACACGACUGAAGCGACUUAGCAGCAGCAGCAGCAGCAGCAGGGGCUGGAGAUAGGUCGUGAGUGUGUGUGAGACGGGGAGAGAGAGAAUGUGUGGAAUUUUGAACCUCACCCAAGAGGAGAUGUGUGAGUCAAGAUGUGGGGGGAAGGGGAGCCAAGUGGUUAUCAAAGGGAGAGUAUCUCAUGGUGUAACCUGGAGCCGGUAUCCAGCCUUGGCCUCUUGAUACCAGCACUCACAUUCAGGCUUGGAGGUGUCCAUGAUCAGGUAGUGUCCCACAGCCAGGCGGGGAGGGGUGCAGGCAGCUCCUAACCUGAAAACCUUCCCUGGGGUCCGGAGACUUUGUCACGGAUAGAGUCUGGACCCCCCCCCCCAAAGCCAGGGCCACUGCAGGGGGACCCCCUUGCCAUCCCGCAGAUGCCAAGAGACCCUCUUUGGGGUCCACAGUCCUGGAUCCUCCCAGCUGGAAGGAGCCUCAGGGGUGUGCCAUCCUAUUAUGAUUCAUCAGAUUGUGGAUUAGGCAAACACUUGUUGAUAAGCCCUGUUUGCCAGCUGUGGGGCACCCAGAGGUGCUUUCAGUCCAUCACAGUUCAUGACUUCAAGUUGAGCUCCAACAUGCUUCCUGCAGCCAGCCACUGUGAUGGUGGAGGCUCAGCCAGCCACUGACCACUCCCUGUGUGACCUCGAACAAGUAGCUUUGCCUCUCUGAGCUCACAGAAUAUAAUAAUGCCUUACCCUCACAGGGAUAUUGUAAGAGUCCUGCAGAUGCUUCUCCUUUGGUGGAAGUGUUGAUGAGAUCCUGUGGCCUUACCUGAAUGGCUGAUUGCUUUGUUCAUUGACAUGCUCUGGGCCUCAGUUUCCCCAAACGAUAAUGAGCGGAAGUCGAAGGGAAGCGAAUUUGUUUCCCAGUGGAUGACUCGCAGGGAGGAUGGGAGCCAGGUGUAUAUUGGACCCACUGCGUGUGUUCUUCAAGCCCAGCUCAGCACACAGUGGGUGCUCAAUAAAUGUUCGCCAGAGGGAUGAGCAAGCAGAUGAUCGGCUACAUCUCUUGCAGCCAUGGGAACGUCUGCGGGUAGCUCUCUACUCCUGUGGGAUUGUCUAUACCCUCUCCCCUUCACCCAGCCCCCUGAGCACCUUCCUCGUCACCAUGGGUGAUAAUACAUUAA